GCCACUGUGGUGCAGUGGUAGCAUGUCAGACUAUGACCUGGGAUACCAGGGUUCAAAUCCCCAGGCGGCC